GGGGCUGUAGCUCAGUGGUAGAGAGCCAGCCUCACAUGUUUGAGGCACUGAGUUCAAUCCUCAGCAACCACA
rnacentral:tRNA from 1 species